rnacentral:rRNA from 1 species
GAAUCUUCCACAAUGGACGAAAGUCUGAUGGAGCAAUGCCGCGUGAGCGAAGAAGGUUUUCGGAUCGUAAAGCUCUGUCCUAAGGGAAGAAACGGACGGUACCUUAGGAGGAAGCCCCGGCUAACUACGUGCCAGCAGCCGCGGUAAUACGUAGGGGGCGAGCGUUAUCCGGAAUUACUGGGCGUAAAGGGUGCGUAGGCGGCCUUUUAAGUCAGAUGUGAAAGGCUACGGCUUAACCGUAGUUAGCAUUUGAAACUAAAAGGCUUAAGUGCAGGAGAGGAGAGUGGAAUUCCUAGUGUAGCGGUGAAAUGCGUAGAUAUUAGGAGGAACACCAGUGGCGAAGGCGACUCUCUGGACUGCAACUGACGCUGAGGCACGAAAGCGUGGGGAGCGAAC